UGGGGAAUAUUGCGCAAUGGGGGAAACCCUGACGCAGCGACGCCGCGUGUGGGAAGAAGGCCUUCGGGUCGUAAACCACUGUCAGGAGGGAAGAAACGCAUGGGUUCGAACAGGGCCUGUGCCUGACGGUACCUCCGGAGGAAGCACCGGCUAACUCCGUGCCAGCAGCCGCGGUAAUACGGAGGGUGCAAGCGUUAAUCGGAAUCACUGGGCGUAAAGCGCACGUAGGCGGUCCUGCAAGUCAGGCGUGAAAUCCCUUGGCUCAACCGAGGAAUUGCGUUUGAAACUGCAGGACUGGAGUACUGGAGAGGGGGGCGGAAUUCCCGGUGUAGGAGUGAAAUCCGUAGAUAUCGGGAGGAACACCAGUGGCGAAGGCGGCCACCUGGACAGAUACUGACGCUGAGGUGCGAAAGCGUGGGGAGCAAACA
rnacentral:rRNA from 1 species